rnacentral:rRNA from 1 species
UACGGAGGGUGCAAGCGUUAUCCGGAUUUACUGGGGUUAAAGGGUGCGUAGGUGGGUCUGUAAGUCAGUGGUGAAAUCUCCGAGCUUAACUCGGAAACUGCCAUUGAUACUAUAGAUCUUGAAUUAUCUGGAGGUAAGCGGAAUAUGUCAUGUAGCGGUGAAAUGCUUAGAUAUGACAUAGAACACCAAUUGCGAAGGCAGCUUACUACGGAUCGAUUGACACUGAGGCACGAAAGCGUGGGGAUCAAACAGG